AGGCUGUAAUCCCAGCUCUUUAGAAGCGGAGGCAGGAAGAUCAGGAGUUCAUGACCAUCAUCAGCUUCUUACCAAGCUUGAGACCUGUGGCUCUAUCUCAAUAAAUACAUAAGAGAAGGGGCUAGAGAUAUGAUUUGCUGGUUAAGAAUAUGUACUGCUCUUGCAGAGAACCCGAGUUGAGUUCCCAGCACCCACUUAAGCUCAACAACAUUCUACUUUCUGUAACUCCAGUUCCAGGGGCUUCCUUGAUCACCACAGAUGAGUGUAUACACACACACACACACACACACACACUCACAAAUACCUUUUUUGAGGGGGUUGUGUAUUUUGAGACAGGUUCUCUCUCUGUAGCCCUGGCUAUCCUAUAGACCAGGCUGGCCUUGAAACUCAGAAAUCCACUAGCCUCUGAAGUGCUGGGAUUAAAGGCAUUAUCAUGAUGCCUGGCACUUUUUUUUUUUUAAAGAAUUGUACCCUUCCCCCCCCCCCACACACACACACAAAAGAGAGAGGAAAGAAAUUAUAUUAGUAGACAUACCUGCUUAUGUAGAUUGUAAUCUCAUUUAUUUCAGAGGCUGUGGCAACAGGAUUACAAGAUCAGGACCAGUCUAGGCUACAGAGUAAAUUCAAGGUUGACCUGAGUAUCUUAUGAGACACCCCUCAUGCACUCCACUCCCCACCCAUCGAAACGUAAAAAGCAUUAGGACUGUAGAGCACUUGCCUAGCAUGGUUGAAAACUCAGGUUUAACUCUUAAUACUGAAGGGGGAAAAUGAAGAGAGGGCAGAGAAAACUAAGAAGAUGUUCUCUGUGUUCAGCAUGGACUAAGACCUGAUGGUUCCAGCCUCACCUGAUGGAAGGGUUGGGAUGAGGGUACUGUUAUGGUUAAUAUCUGUGCCAACUUGACAGAUCUGGAAUCAUUUUGAAGAUGAAUCUCUGGGCAUGGUCUGUGAAAGGGUUUCUAAAUUAGGUUAAUUGAGAAGAGAAAGCCUGAACUGUACGUGUGUGGUACCAUCCAUUGGCUGGGGUCCUGGAUGUCUUAGGGUUUCUAGUGCUGGGAUAAAACACCAUGACCAAAAGCAACCAAGGGGUUUAUUUUAGCUUGCCGUUCCAUAUCACAGUCCAUUAUCAAGGAAGUCAGGACAGGAGCUCAAAGCAGGAACCUAGAAGCAGGAGCUGAAGCAGAAGCCAUGGAGAAGUGCUGUUCCCUGGCUAGCUCCCAUGGCUUGCUCAGCUGCUCUUUAAUAGCAACCAGGUUCAUCAGCUCGGGGCUGGCACUGCCCACAGUGAGCUCUUCCAUGUUAUUCACCAGUCAGGGUAACUAACGCACCACAGGUGCUUGCCCACAGGCCAGACUGGGGGGGGGGGCAUUUUCUCAAUUGAGGAUCCAUCUUCCAACAUGACUUUAGCUUGUUGACAUAAAAAGUAGCCAGCACAGCAUAAAAAGAAGAGCUCUAGCCAGGGGUGAUAACAUACACCCUUAAUACCAGGUAGAGACAUGAGGACCUCCAUGAGUUCAAGGCUAGCCUGGUCAGCAUUUCAAACUCCAAGCCAUCCAAGGUUGCAUAGUGAGAACCGGUCUCAUAAAACCACGGGGAAGGUUGUUUAGGGAGAGAGAUAGAUAUAGUUGAAUAUAGAUAGGCAUCUAUUGCUUUCUGAGUUUUGACUACGGCUGCAAUGUGUUUUUCUCCUGCAGCCACGACCCACCGUGAUGAACUGUACUCUCUGAGAGAUGAGAUAAAUCCUCCCUUCAAUUUGCCUUUGCAGGUACUUUGUAGCAACAAGACCAGUAGCUAAGGUAGGAUGCUUGAUGUAUCAGAAAGAGGGAGGGCUCCGGAGGUGAGGAGC
rnacentral:lncRNA from 1 species